rnacentral:rRNA from 1 species
GCUCAGGAUGAACGCUGGCGGCGUGCCUAACACAUGCAAGUCGAACGAGGUAUUUUGAUUGAAGUUUUCGGAUAGAUUUCAAGAUACCGAGUGGCGGACGGGUGAGUAACGCGUGGGUAACCUGCCUCAUACGGGGGGAUAACGGUUAGAAAUGACUGCUAAUACCGCAUAAGCGCACAGUACCGCAUGGUACGGUGUGAAAAACUCUGGUGGUAUGAGAUGGACCCGCGUCUGAUUAGCUAGUUGGUGGGGUAACGGCCCACCAAGGCGGCGAUCAGUAGCCGACCUGAGAGGGUGACCGGCCACAUUGGGACUGAGACACGGCCCAGACUCCUACGGGAGGCAGCAGUA